CAAAAAAUAGUUUAAGUUAUAAGAAUACUAGUUUUGGGGACUAGUGAUGGGAAGUAUUUCUCUUUUUUGA